CAAAAACCAGCCAUAUGCUGUUGUUAGAAAUACUAUAUCAGUCAGAAUUGGUGUAACAGAAACCCAACUUACAGUGGUUUAAAUAUGUAAGAAAUUUAAUUUUCCUUGCAGCAGAGAGCUGCCGAUAUAGGCAGCUGCUCAGAAAACCUCUACCCUUUUCCAGCUUCCCUCACCCUCAGCACCUCUGCUGGGCUUGGUAGCUUACCUGAUGGUGUGACCCCAACCUUCAUUCCUAAGCGAUCUGAGCCCUUCUUGGUCACCAUGCCUCUCAUGUAUGAGGCCAUGAUGGAUGUACGUGUCCAUUUACCAUCAAAACUGGGCACCUGAUCCAUAUACCAAGCUCAGGCUCCUUCCUCCUCUGUUGGCUGGUCAUAAAGGACCCUUCUCUCCACCCCAUGCAGCCAUCAGUAUGAGCUGAGAGCAAGACAACAGGUGGAUGAGAUGGGGGUCUGGUUACCUGCUCACGCAGCUCGCUUAUGCCAUCUGGUCCUCCUUCUGCUCAAUCCUCCAUGUCCCACUUCUAUUCUGGCAUGCUGCUGGGCCCACCUGAUCUUAUGACUUGGUUGAUCUGACAAAUAUCUGACUCAUUGUGGAUAGUUUUGGCUGCACAAUCGUUUGCUUUCCCGUGAUCGGGUGUUCCCUCCCUCCGGGGCCAAGUAGCCCUCAGGAGCUUGUGAUGGUUAAUUUUAGGUGUCAACCGGACUGGGUUAAGGAAUAGCUAGAGAACUUGUAAAGCAUCACUUCUGGGUGUGUCCGUGAGGGUGUUUCCAGAGGACAGUGGCCUGGGACUUUGUGGACUGAGAGGAGGAGAUCUGCCCUCAUUAUGGGCAGGCACCAUCCAAUCAGCUGGCACCCGCAUAGAACAAAAAAGGCAGAAACAAAACAAAACAAAACAAUUUUCUCUCUCUCUCUCUCUCUCCCUCCCUCUCUUCUUCUCUCUCCUGGAGCUGGAACACACUUUUUUCUCCUGCCUUUGGACAUCGGAACUCCAGGCUCUCCAGGCUUUCCAGACUCUGGACUUAACAGCAGUCUCUGGACUUACAACAGCAGCCCCCUGGAUCCUCAAGCCUUUGGCCUCAGACUAAUAAUUAUAUCAGCAACUUCCUGGUUCUGAGGCUUUUGGGCAGCCAUGCUACUAGCAACCCAGCAGUUCCAGCAGAAGGCCUGUUGUGGGACUUCUCAGCCUCCAUGAGCAUGUAAGCUUGCUUAAAAGAACUCCAGAUGGCCCGGGAGCUGCAGGACCCUUUGCCAAUUAUCAGAGGAAGAUAAGGCCUGUGUGAAACCGGGACAAACCUGAACCAGCGACCCCGUGUUACCUUUAGAUCAUUAACAUAUCAUCAUAAUGCUAAAACCUCACCCAUAGAAGAUAAUUGCUGCCAUUUUCUGAAUAUACAUUAUAUGAAGAAGCAUGUUCAUGAUCUGCACCUGCACAUCUGGAGUUCCUCCCCAUACAUGUUUACGUACCUCCCUGCCCCACAUCUAACUCCUUAAAAUCCCCCAGCUUCUCAUAUCUCAGGGAGAAGGAGUCUUUAGAGAAAGAGCUCCCUCCUCCAUUCCUGGCCAGGAAUAAAACCUGCUUGCCUUUUUUCCCAAUUAGGUGUUACAGUAGAACUCAGUUACCCUGUAACAAUAAGAAUUGCAUUAAAUCCUUAUAUCAACUUGGGAAGAAUUGACAGCUUUACCAUAUUAAGUCUUCUAAUCCAUAAAUAAGUAUGUUCAUCCAUUUUUUUAGAUUUUUGAAAUUUCUUUCAUCAGCAUUUUGUAGUUCUUUGCCUCACUAUCUAGAUCCCAAAUAUUUUCUGUUUUUUUUUUCUGAAAGUUUUAUCUCUUACAAUUUAAACCUGAGUAGUUCUCAGCAUGCAAGCCCCAUACAUGUUUUGUUGGAUUUAAAUUUAAGUACUUUGGUUUUUGAUAAAUUGUAAGUGCUACUGUAUUUUAAGUUUCAGUGCCCAUGUGUUCCUUGCUGGUAUAAAGAAAUACAACAUAUUCCUGCAGUCUAGCUGAAGUCACUUAUCAGCUCUAGGAGUUUCUGUUUUUUGUUUUAUUUUUGGUAGAUCUUUGAGAUUUCCUACUUUGAUAAGCAUGUUAUCCACGAAUAGGGACAGUUUUAUUACUACCUUUCUGAUCUGUAUGCCUUUUAUUUCCUUUUCUUACCUUAUUGCAUUGGGUAGAACUUCUAACACUGUUUAACAAUAAUGGUAAGAGCAGUCAUCCUUGCCCUUUUCCUCUUCUCAGGGGUACAACCAUUCAGUCUUUCACUGUUAAGUAUGAUGCUGGCUGUGGAGUUGUUAUAGAUGCUCUUUAACAAGUUAGGACAAAUUCCCUCUAUUUCUCUUUUUCUGAGCAUUUUUAAAACCAUGAAUGGGUAUUUUGUGAAAUGCUUUUUCUGUAUUGAUUGGUAAGAUCAAUUUUCUUUUGUAUCCAGUUAGUAUGUUGGAUUAUGUUGACUGAUUUGUGAAUAGUAAAACUGCCCUGCAUUCCUGCAGUAAGCUUCGCUGUGUUACAAGAUCUUUGGGGUGUUGCUUUUCUGGCCAGAAACCUCUGUGGCCAGUGGUGCCUUUGCCCAAGUUUUGUUUGGGCUCACUGGGCUCAUUCCGCCCACUCGGCCUGGCAGGCUGUGCUCAGCUCAUGCUACCAGCCUGGACCCCAUGUCUGCCAAAGGCAAGUCAGGCAUGGAGUGGCAAGGGGUGUGUGAGUGAGCGUGGGGUCUGGCCACUGUGCAGUCAGACAUGUCAGCUGCUGCAGUGGGGUGGGCAGCUCCAGGUGCUGGCACAGGCACUAGUCCUCUGUGAGGCUGUGGCUGAGCCAGGCACACUGCACGCAGCUUCCACAGCUGGUACUGGGGAACAAAGUGGUGCCUGGAGGCUUGGAGAUGCCAGGAACCACAGGGCUCCCAAGAAAGAGUCAUAGCCCUGGCUUGGGGAGCUCCCAGGUCUGGGCUUCCCGAAGGGCCAUAGCUAUUCUUUCUUUCUCUUCACCCUCAAUGUAGUGAGCAAGGGGCAUGUUUCAACCCUGUUUGUGUUACAGCUCUUUUAGCCCUACCAUUCAAUGGGUCCCAAGUUCUUGUCCUAUAACCAGGAAGAAUGAGGUACCCAGACAAGUGGAGGGUGAGCAAGAUGAAAAGGAGCUUUACUGAGCGACAGAACAGUUUGGAGGAAACCCGCAGUGGGUAGCUCCUUUCCACAGCCAGGGUGUCCUGAUGAGUGUUCAGCUCCUAGCAAAGAGGAGGCCCUGGAGUGGGAAGCUCCUCUUUGCAUGCAGGUGGUCACAUUGUCUCUGCAGCUCUCAGCAGAGAGGAGGCCCUGGAGUGGGUAGCUCCUCUCUGCUGUUGGUCAUCCUAAUGUCUGCUCAGCUCUGGUUGAGCGCAGGGGUAUUAUGGGCUUCAGAGGGGGGAAAGUGUAUGCCAACUGGUCCAUGGGCAGGCCCAGAAAAGGCACCACAAGCUCCCACUCUGGUCUGUGGGGCUGGCAGCCCGACGCCAGCCUUCAGGCCCUCCCUGGCCUGAAGGUGGGGCCUCACUGGGGACCUGCCCCCUUCUGCCCAGGAGCCCAUCUGCCUCCUGCCACUGCACAUGGCACCCAGGCUGCUCACAGCAAGGGGCACCUACAGGCCAGGGCAAGCCGCCCUCAACUUCGUCAUUGUGUAUACUUUUUUUUACAUUGUUGAAUUC
rnacentral:lncRNA from 1 species